rnacentral:rRNA from 1 species
AUUGAACGCUGGCGGCAUGCCUUACACAUGCAAGUCGAACGGCAGCGGACCUUCGGGUGCCGGCGAGUGGCGAACGGGUGAGUAAUGUAUCGGAACGUACCUUUCAGUGGGGGAUAACGUAGCGAAAGUUACGCUAAUACCGCAUAUUCUGUGAGCAGGAAAGCAGGGGAUCGCAAGACCUUGCGCUGAUUGAGCGGCCGAUAUCAGAUUAGCUAGUUGGUGGGGUAAUGGCCUACCAAGGCGACGAUCUGUAGCGGGUCUGAGAGGAUGAUCCGCCACACUGGAACUGAGACACGGUCCAGACUCCUACGGGAGGCAGCAGUGGGGAAUUUUGGACAAUGGGCGCAAGCCUGAUCCAGCCAUGCCGCGUGAGUGAAGAAGGCCUUCGGGUUGUAAAGCUCUUUCGGCCGGGAAGAAAUCGCAUGGGUUAAUACCCUGUGCGGAUGACGGUACCGGCAUAAGAAGCACCGGCUAACUACGUGCCAGCCGCCGCUGUAAUAC